GACUCUUAGCAUGGUUCACUCGGCUUGUGCAUCAAUGAAGAACGCAGCAAGCUGCAAGAAUUAAUGUGAAGCGCAGGACACAUUGAUCAUAGACACUUCGAAUACCCUUGCAGCCCGAGGUUGCUCCAGGGUUAUGCCUCUCUGAGGUCUC
ensembl:rRNA 5_8S_rRNA 5.8S ribosomal RNA